GGCGGUGCGAGCCGCCGCGCCGCGCUCGCUUUAGGAGCUAGCCAGGCGCGGGGGGGGGCCUGGGAUCGAUGAUGCAAUUUACAUGUCGAAUUGGAACGCCAGCAACGUUUAUGUUGUGAAAGCAAGCAAAAUGGCGACUGUUUUUAGCUACUGAUUGCAACAUACCACUUCCUGACUUAGGCCUAGCUAUUUUAAUGAAUCUGGCAUUAUUGGCAGUGGUAGACUACAGUUCAGUUGGUCAAAACUCUUAAAAGAAUUUCAAAGAGGAGAAAGAGCAGAAUGGUUCAUAACGUCAACAACACCAAAAGUUGGCCGUCACGGCAACUGGGCAACAGACAACAGGCAGCCAAUCAGCUGCUGUGGGAUCAGGAGUCCCUCUUCAAUGCCAGCCGAGGGGUGCAAUGCCGACCCUCUGUAAACAUUCCAGCACGGGACGUUGGGGUAGCCCUGCGACACCUGGCCGAUAAUUGGCUGCAUGUGAGACAGGUGGGCUACCAGAUGAGGACAAUCGCUGACGAGGUGUAUGCCAGACACCAGAGGAGGCACAACCGGCCCACAUAGUUUUUCAGCCGGUCUCAGACCAGUGAGGCUGAGGAAUCCGAUCCCCACAGAAGACAGUGGAAAAUGUUGAGUUUUCUGAAUAAUGACAAUGCAGCAAUGGAGAGAUGCAACGUUGAGCAUCGUGGCAGGCCAUUGAGCUUGGAGAGAUGGUCAGCUCAGUAGCUCAUUGGUUUCCAAUGUAAAGAAAAGUUUCUGAAUGUAAUUCUGAAGAAAUGCAGUCAUCCCUGACUUUCCUUUUUCUAAAUCUGUGAACUUCAAAUAUCCAUGUACAUUUAUUCCAAUCUGAAGCUAUUGAGCAAAAGAAUGGACCUUUUGAAGCUGCCCACAUAUACAUGUAUCCAACUUUUGAGCACUAAUUUGUCACAGCUAAUUGCAGACAGAUGUUAAAUGUUUCUGAUUAAUGUGUUGGUACCGUGGGAAAUGUACUCAUCUGUAAAAUAGAAAUUGAAAAGGGCAGACUUCCAUACCAUCCUCAGGAUAAAUUGACUUUUUACGCAUACACCACUGAACAAAACAUCGAUUUACUCUCCUGACUUCAGUUUUAGGAAAACAAACUCGACUGGCCACUUGCUAUGCACAUCACUGGUCUUAAUAUUUUUUGUAUCUUCAGUGUGAUAACUGUAUUUGUAUAAUGUAUAGUACAUAAUUAUUUGGGGGGUGCCAAACCCCAUGGGUUAUAUUGUACAAUGUUAAUUUUGCACCUGUUCAUUUGAAAUUAUAUACAUGUACUACCUGAAUGAAUACUUGUCAUCUGUUCUGUAGGUCAUUCAUCACAUGCCAAUAAUUGCAUGGACCAACUGCUAAGAUUUUUGUUUCAUGGUUGGCAACAGUUAUUCCAAGGCCACCAGAAAUUUCCAAACUCAUAGACAAUGCAGGGAUUUAUUCAGGUGGGAAUUUGUUCAGGAUUUACUUAAGCAUUUAAUGGUUUGUGUAUUUAUGUAUGUUUGCGCAUGUGUAGUGGAAAGAAUGGUUUCAUAAGUUGAUCGAUGGCACUGUCCAUUCCACUUGACAUCCCCGUGUGGAAUGGGAUGUUCCAUCUCUCACCUCAUGAAAAUAUUCUCACCAUUACAUGAUAAACAUUUUUUGUUUUACAUUAUAUCAGCUGUUGUUUUCCUUGAGAAAGGAUUCAGAAUGGAAGAAACUCACUGUGGGAAAGUUUCAACCCCUGGACAAAAGGUCACCUUUGCUUGGUUUUAUGGCAAAAUGUUGCAUUUUGCCAGCAUCAAGCACUAUGAAACUAUUGCAUUAUCUGUUUCGUGCAUCUUUUUGUGUUUUCCAUUCUCUGUUCACUUCUACACGUAUUCAUCUUGUCAAUGUUUAGUCAGUACAAUGCCUCUCCGACCCCUGAACUUCAAUUUCACCUUUGCCAAAAAUGUCAACGAUUUCUUUGCCCAAAGGUUCACAGCGUUCAGAUUUUAAAAUGUAGAGCCGUUUCUUUGAAACCUUUCGAUGAUGAAUAUUUUUUUAUUAGUUUAAAUUUAUCACUCUAUACCUUUGGAUCACUUAGGUCAAAUUCAACCAGAGAGGUCAGGUCAGCUAAAGGUCAUGUUGACAUACUGUUUACAAUAAAUUAAUAUGUACAAUGAAAUUCACUCUCAACAUCAACCAAAAUGGUACAAAAAUUUCAGUGACUGAUGGAACCUUUGUAUCCAGGGGUCUGAUAUUCUGCGACUUCCUUUCAUCGGAAGAAAAAAAAACUAGGGCCAGUUUUCAUGAUAAUUGAUGACAACUCAGGAAGGAAUAUACUGAUUGAACAAGAAGUGACCUGUCUGUUAACUUAUGUUAUUAUUUAUAACAUGUAAGUGUGUGUUUUAUACUCAACCCCCACCCUCCUAAGGUACUUCAAAUUCAUUGGGAGGAUUUGGGGGAUUUUCAGGAGCGAGUAAAAAAUAGUCAAGUCCUUUUUACUUAGUGAAAUAUAAUGCGAUGCCCUUGGAAGUAUUAAGUGCCAUUGGUGUCUACAAAGUACAUUGUUAAGCCUUGGGAAGGCCUCCUAAUGAAAUUGCCCAAAGGUGUUUGGAUAAAGAUCAUCCAAUCGUCUCUUCUCCAUGGCUCCCAGUAGCUGUUACUUGAGUGCAGAGACACUCGGGUCAAGAUAUGGACAACAGACGCUGGACGUUCGUUUCCUCUUUUAUCUGACAAAUUCAUGUGGAGUGCACCCAUCAGUUGUAAGGGGAUGGUCACGAUGACAAAAUUCACAUCCUUACCCCCAGGGCAGCCUUUCCAUCCAUGUAGUGUGCCAAUGGCAAAAAAAUUAUCUGAUACGUUUCCCGCCCUUGGGCUUGAGAAAGGCUACCAAAGGCGGACACACAUGUCCUUCAGGAGCUCGGGCGGAGAACAGUGUUGAUGCAGUAAUAGGUGCAGUAAUGUGGCAAGAUCAGAUAUGCUUUAAACCCACUAGAAUGUGAAUGAUUUUUGGUUGUUCAGAGUCAAUGCGUCAAAGCCAAUUAAUGUUUUAAGGUGACGGAUAUGUCCCAGACUGUCAUAUUGAAACCUAUGUAAGUAGAGAUCCAGCUAAUUUCCCGUCGUUUGCUGAUGUCAUCUGCCACGGGUUGGCGUAAAUCCCACACUUGUUUUUUGUAUGCAUGUGCAUGUCUGGUUCCGUGCACUUCCAAUAGUUCCACAAGAGUUGAAAUGAACUUUUAUAUGCAUGAAGCGUGUUACAAGUCCCAUCACUUAUUAUAAUAUUUCAGCAAUUUCAGAGAUUCAGCACAUAUGAUCUACCUCAGUUUAAUAAUUGAAUUAUUCUGCUACAAAUUCUGAUAUACAUGCAUUCAGUAUUUUAAAAUGCCCCAUUGUCCCCGGUCCCCCAGUUGGUGUCACAUUUACCACCACCCGUUUUGUAAGAGUAUGUAAGAUCAUUAAGCUGUUAGCAUUCAAUUUUCAACAGUUCUUGAAUAAAAUUUGUAGAGGUUCUAAACCUA